GCAAGUCGAACGGGAAGCCACUUCGGUGGUGGAAAGUAGCGCACGGGGGAGUAACGCGUGGGAAUUUACACUUCAGUAAGGAACAACAGUUGGAAACGACUGCUAAUACCUUAUAAUGACUCCGGUCCAAAGAUUUAUCGCUGAAGGAUAAGCCCGCGUCUGAUUAGCUAGUUGGUGAGGUAAAGGCUCACCAAGGCGACGAUCAGUAGGGGGUUUGAGAGGAUGAUC
rnacentral:rRNA from 1 species